GACGAACGCUGGCGGCGUGCUUAACACAUGCAAGUCGAACGGUAAGGCCCUUCGGGGUACACGAGUGGCGAACGGGUGAGUAACACGUGGGUGAUCUGCCCUGCACUUUGGGAUAAGCCUGGGAAACUGGGUCUAAUACCGAAUACACCCUGCUGGUCGCAUGGCCUGGAGGGGGAAAGCUUUUGCGGUGUGGGAUGGGCCCGCGGCCUAUCAGCUUGUUGGUGGGGUGAUGGCCUACCAAGGCGACGACGGGUAGCCGGCCUGAGAGGGUGACCGGCAACACUGGGACUGAGAUACGGCCCAGACUCCUACGGGAGGCAGCAGUGGGGAAUAUUGCACAAUGGGCGCAAGCCUGAUGCAGCGACGCCGCGUGCGGGAUGACGGCCUUCGGGUUGUAAACCUCUUUCAAUAGGGACGAAGCGCAAGUGACGGUACCUAUAGAAGAAGGACCGGCCAACUACGUGCCAGCCGCCGCGGUAA
rnacentral:rRNA from 1 species